rnacentral:rRNA from 1 species
GACGAACGCUGGCGGCGCGCCUAACACAUGCAAGUCGAACGGAGCUUAGAGAGCUUGCUUUUUAAGCUUAGUGGCGAACGGGUGAGUAACGCGUGAGUAACCUGCCCUAGAGUGGGGGACAACAGUUGGAAACGACUGCUAAUACCGCAUAAGCCCACGGUACCGCAUGGCACUGAGGGAAAAGGAUUUAUUCGCUUUAGGAUGGACUCGCGUCCAAUUAGCUAGUUGGUGAGGUAACGGCCCACCAAGGCGACGAUUGGUAGCCGGACUGAGAGGUUGAACGGCCACAUUGGGACUGAGACACGGCCCAGACUCCUACGGGAGGCAGCAGUGGGGGAUAUUGCACAAUGGGGGAAACCCUGAUGCAGCGACGCCGCGUGGAGGAAGAAGGUUUUCGGAUUGUAAACUCCUGUCGUUAGGGACGAUAAUGACGGUACCUAACAAGAAAGCACCGGCUAACUACGUGCCAGCAGCCGCGGUAAAACGUAGGGUGCAAGCGUUGUCCGGAAUUACUGGGUGUAAAGGGAGCGCAGGCGGGAAGACAAGUUGGAAGUGAAAACCAUGGGCUCAACCCAUGAAUUGCUUUCAAAACUGUUUUUCUUGAGUAGUGCAGAGGUAGAUGGAAUUCCCGGUGUAGCGGUGGAAUGCGUAGAUAUCGGGAGGAACACCAGUGGCGAAGGCGGUCUACUGGGCACCAACUGACGCUGAGGCUCGAAAGCAUGGGUAGCAAACAGGAUUAGAUACCCUGGUAGUCCAUGCCGUAAACGAUGAUUAUAGGUGUGGGGGGACUGACCCCCUCAGUGCCGCAGUUGACACAAUAAGUAAUCCACCUGGGGAGUACGACCGCAAGGUUGAAACUCAAAGGAAUUGACGGGGGCCCGCACAAGCAGUGGAGUAUGUGGUUUAAUUCGAAGCAACGCGAAGAACCUUACCAGGUCUUGACAUCCGAUGCAUAGCACAGAGAUGUGUGAAAUCCUUCGGGACAUCGAGACAGGUGGUGCAUGGUUGUCGUCAGCUCGUGUCGUGAGAUGUUGGGUUAAGUCCCGCAACGAGCGCAACCCUUAUUGCCAGUUACUACGUUAAGAGGACUCUGGCGAGACUGCCGUUGACAAAACGGAGGAAGGUGGGGAGGACGUCAAAUCAUCAUGCCCUUUAUGACCUGGGCUACACACGUACUACAAUGGCGUUAAACAAAGAGAAGCAAGACCGCGAGGUGGAGCAAAACUCAAAAACAACGUCUCAGUUCAGAUUGCAGGCUGCAACUCGCCUGCAUGAAGUCGGAAUUGCUAGUAAUCGCGGAUCAGCAUGCCGCGGUGAAUAAGAGCCCGGGCCUUGUAC